rnacentral:tRNA from 1 species
GGCCUCAUAGUUCAGCUGGUAGAGCAUGCGCCGUGCCAAAAGCGUAGGCAGUGUCCAUGCAUGGGUUCGAAUCCCACCGAGGCUA